GCCGGUGUGGCGGAACAGGCAGACGCCUUGGACUUAAAAUCCAAUGUUGCGAAAGCAACGUACCGGUUCGACCCCGGUCACCGGCACCA
rnacentral:tRNA from 1 species